GUGCCAGCAGCCGCGGUAAUUCCAGCUCCAAUAGCGUAUAUUAAAAUUGUUGCAGUUAAAAAGCUCGUAGUUGAAUUUUUGCUGGAAAUAACCGGUCUGCUUUUAUUAAUAAGAGUGGUAUCUUGGUGUGUUUUUAGCAAUAAUGUCCUUUGAAAUGUUUUUUACUUUAUUGUAAGAAGCAAUAUUCAGGAUUUUUACUUUGAGAAAAUUAGAGUGUUUCAAGCAAGCUAACGUUUUGAAUACUGCAGCAUGGAAUAAUAAAAUAGGAUUUUGGUUCUACAUUAUUGGUUUUAAGAACUAAAUUAAUGAUUGAUAGGGACAGUUGGGGGCAUUUGUAUUUAACUGUCAGAGGUGAAAUUCUUAGAUUUGUUAAAGACAAACUACUGCGAAAGCAUUUGCCAAAGAUGUUUUCAUUAAUCAAGAACGAAAGUUAGGGGA
rnacentral:rRNA from 1 species